UACGUAGGGAGCAAGCGUUGUCCGGAAUCAUUGGGCGUAAAGCGCGCGUAGGCGGCCCGGUAAGUCCGCUCUGAAAGUCACAGGCUCAACCUGUGAAAGCGGGUGGAUACUGCCGGGCUAGAGUCCGGAAGAGGCGAGUGGAAUUCCUGGUGUAGCGGUGGAAUGCGCAGAUAUCAGGAGGAACACCAACGGCGAAGGCAGCUCGCUGGGACGGUACUGACACUGAGGCGCGAAAGCGUGGGGAGCGAACCGG
rnacentral:rRNA from 1 species